rnacentral:piRNA from 1 species
UGUUUUACAAGGUUGAGGAGAUAUGUC